rnacentral:misc_RNA from 1 species
AAAAAAAAUUCCUAUACCCCGCUGCCGGAAAGUUCAUCGACGGCAAUGGGGUGCUCCUCUUCGAAGCGAAUCGAGGCCACUGUCGACGUAUACCGUCCAGCGCCGGCGAGCUUUGCGGUUUUUGACAUAAACGCCAUAGAGGAGCCUUGGGUUAAAGUCAUGGAUGAGCAACCGCCACCACCCACGGCGGACCCGGUAAAGGAGGAGAAAUCGGCGAUUGUUCCGGUUCCGAUUCUGGAGAAGCUCAGUAGUUUCGAGUCUGAAGCUCCUCAUUCGUGGGAUGAGGUGAGUAAAGCCCUUGAAGAUCUCAAACCUGCUCUCCGCCCGGUUACAGAACCACCGCCGACGAAACCCCCUGCCAUCGCCACCACCGCCGCCGUCGUUGCUAAACAGCCCCCACGUAAGAGCUCGAGUUUCCACACAGUGGCAGAGCUCGACGCCAAGUUGUCGCCCUCCGCCAAGCCGGCCGCCGAGUCUAAGCCUUCAGUGUUGAGAAAAGCGGCGUCUGUUAGACCCGGACCGGAAAAACCCGAGCCAAAAACCGGCGACCCAGACCGGUUCAAAUCGGUUAAAGAUAACAUAUUUCUUGUGAGGGAUAGAGAGGAGAGAGAAAGAGAGGGGCAGAAACCGGUCCGGUUCGAUCCGCUGAGUGAGUUUCCAGAGAACUGCCCGCCGGGAGGGGCGGAGACGGUGGUUCUAUAUACGACGUCACUGAGGGGCGUACGGCGGACGUUUGAGGACUGUAACAGAGUGAAGUCGGUGCUGGAGUUGCAGCAGGUGGUCGUCGACGAGCGUGACGUGGCGUUGCACGGCGAGUUUUUGAAGGAACUCAAGGAGUUGCUCGGAGACGAGGCGACGGUGCCGAGGAUGUUUGUGAAGGGAAGAUAUAUCGGAGGGGCAGAUGAGGUAGUGGUACUAAACGAGAUGGGAAAGCUUCGGAGAAUACUGCGACAAGCAGCGGUGGAGACUGGAGCAGGUCGUCAAGGGUGUGAAGGGUGCGGUGGAGCGAGAUUUGUGCCAUGUUUGGAGUGUGGAGGGAGCUGCAAAGUGAUAAAAGGAGAAACAAAAGAGAGAUGUGGAGCUUGUAAUGAGAAUGGUUUGGCCCAUUGCCCUGCCUGUCAUUGAAACAAAUCCUUGAUGGCAAAGAAUAAUGGAGGAAGAUGAUGAAUUUGAAACUGCAUUUUUAUACUUGUGUGUUUUUCAAUGUAAUUUAUACUUGAAAAUGCUUUUGGAAUUGGGGUGUUUGGAUGAAGGGAAAUGGAAGAGAAUAUUGUGAAAUAAGAGGAGGGAGGGGAAUUACACAAUGAUCAACUUUAAGUGAUGGGAUCAUG